AACGAACGCUGGCGGCGCGCCUAAUACAUGCAAGUCGAGCGAGAAGGUGUAGCAAUACACUUGUAAAGCGGCGAACGGGUGAGGAAUACAUGGGUAAUCUACCAUCGAGUGGGGAAUAACCAACCGAAAGGUUGGCUAAUACCGCGUACGCCUCCGAAUCUUCGGGUUCGGAGGGAAAGCUGCACUGUGAGUGUAGCGCUCUUUGAUGAGCUCAUGUCCUAUCAGCUUGUUGGUAGGGUAACGGCCUACCAAGGCUUUGACGGGUAGCUGGUCUGAGAGGACGAUCAGCCACACUGGCACUGCGACACGGGCCAGACUCCUACGGGAGGCAGCAGUAAGGAAUAUUGCGCAAUGGGCGAAAGCCUGACGCAGCGACGCCGCGUGGAGGAUGACG
rnacentral:rRNA from 1 species